AUCGCUCCAACGCUCAGCGCCCAUAAUUUGCUCAACUUCCCAGCUCCAUCGCAGCUAAAGUUGUGGGACAGAUGCUCCUAGAAGAAGAGACAGAAGAUGGACAGAAGAUCUUUGAAGAUGCCUUUUGGACAGAAGAUCCAAAAGGCAAAGACAACUCCAGAGACAAUCACCUGUAAAAGAAAAAUAAACAUUAAACAGGGA